UACGUAGGGGGCAAGCGUUGUCCGGAAUCAUUGGGCGUAAAGAGCGCGUAGGCGGCCCUGUAAGUCCGCUGUGAAAGUCAAGGGCUCAACCCUUGAAUGCCGGUGGAUACUGCAGGGCUAGAGUCCGGAAGAGGCGAGUGGAAUUCCCGGUGUAGCGGUGAAAUGCGCAGAUAUCAGGAGGAACACCGGUGGCGAAGGCGGGUCUCUGGGCCGUAUGACUGACGCUGGAGGAGCGAAAGCGUGGGGAGCGAACAGG
rnacentral:rRNA from 1 species